rnacentral:rRNA from 1 species
GACAGAGGGUGCAAACGUUGUUCGGAAUUACUGGGCGUAAAGCGCGUGUAGGCGGCCCUGCAAGUCGGAUGUGAAAUCCCACGGCUCAACCGUGGAAGUGCAUUCGAAACUGCAGGGCUAGAGUCCUGGAGAGGAAGGUGGAAUGCUUGGUGUAGAGGUGAAAUUCGUAGAUAUCAAGCGGAACACCGGUGGCGAAGGCGGCCUUCUGGACAGUGACUGACGCUGAGACGCGAAAGCGUGGGGAGCAACAGG